UACGUAGGGUGCGAGCGUUAAUCGGAAUUACUGGGCGUAAAGCGUGCGCAGGCGGUUCGUUGUGUCGGUGGUGAAAGCCCCGGGCUUAACCUGGGAAUGGCCAUGGAAACUGGCGAACUGGAGUGUGGCAGAGGGGGGUGGAAUUCCGCGUGUAGCAGUGAAAUGCGUAGAUAUCGGAAGGAACACCAGUGGCGAAAGCGGCUUCCUGGUCCAGCACCGACGUUCAGGCACGAAAGCGUGGGGAGCAAACAGG
rnacentral:rRNA from 1 species